AUUGAACGCUGGCGGCAGGCUUAACACAUGCAAGUCGAGCGGAGUGAUGGUGCUUGCACUAUCACUUAGCGGCGGACGGGUGAGUAAUGCUUAGGAAUCUGCCUAUUAGUGGGGGACAACAUCUCGGAAGGGAUGCUAAUACCGCAUACGUACUACGGGAGAAAGCAGGGGAUCACUUGUGACCUUGCGCUAAUAAAUGAGCCUAAGUCGGAUUAGCUAGUUGGUGGGGUAAAGCUCUACCUAGGGGAAGAUCUGUAGCGGGUCUCAGCGGAUGAUCCGCCACACUGGGACUGAGACACGGCCCAGACUCCUACGGGAGGCAGCAGUGGGGAAUAUUGGACAAUGGGGGGAACCCUGAUCCAGCCAUGCCGCGUGUGUGAAGAAGGCCUUAUGGUUGUAAAGCACUUUAAGCGAGGAGGAGGCUCUUUUGGUUAAUACCCAAGAUGAGUGGACGUUACUCGCAGAAUAAGCACCGGCUAACUCUGUGCCAGCCGCCGCGGUAA
rnacentral:rRNA from 1 species